CCGAGCGGUCAAGAUGGCAGCCUACCGCUCUAGGGGACCCGGAAUCGAAUCCGGACAAAUCGAAAAAUCCCCAGGAAUUUUUCGGGGGUGAUCCGUCCGAAUAUAUCGGGGCUCCCGGUUACCACCCGGCUGUCUCAUUGUGAGCCUGCCCUUGCUAAAAGAGGCCCCCUUAGUGCCCACAAAGCGGAAAAAGUUAUAAAAAAAAGUUUUAAAAUAUAUUUUGCCCUGAAUAUUUUAUAAAUACAUUUAUAAUAUUUUUCUGGCUAGAGAGUGUAAGAUAAUUUUAAAUGAAAUACGAUAAAUUUCUCCCAUAAGGUUGGCAACGUGCUUUCCAUUAUCGUCUGUCGUCUCUUAAUUAAUUUUCGUGCCAUUACGUUCGCGUUGGCACGGUAGUCUACGUCAUCCGCAAUGUUAGGAAAGAUGGUAUUUGACUGAAGGAACUGGAAAAGGUCAUUUCAAGUUUAGAAUUUCUAGGGCACAAUUCAAGCUCCGAAUGAGGGGAUCGGAACUCAUUUUUCAGACAAGCGAGCUCAAGGAAGGCACUGCGCAUGACAGCCCAUCUACGUGGCCUUCCCUUAGCCAUAGAGAUGCAGCACACUCCGCGGGCCCAAUGGGGUUCCGUCCGCGAGUCACGUGACCCGCUUCACCGCCUCCGAGGUUAUAUAUAAGCCGUAUUCGCCGUCAUAUCCUCGCACCCAGGAUAUGUUAGUGCUAGCGAACGAUACGCCGUAUUCUUGCGAUAUCUCAUGGUCUCCCGCCAUUUUUGAAAAUUUAACAUCUUUCUACUUUCUUCGUUACCUCCCCACCGAACACAGAAAUUUUGCCAUCUCGUGGGCUCGUGCCACAUUCGGACCUAACCGUUUUCGUUCCGCCAUGCCCUAAGUGUGGAGGCACCGUGCGGAUUCCUGUCCCAGUUGCCAACAACAUCGGCAAAAUUCGGCUGUUUAUCGAGGACAUCGUUGAUGUCUACCUGGUACUCGGGCCCAGACGAUCGGUGCGCCCGUCUGCCGCCCGACGAGCCGUAUUUCGAUGUUCCCGUGCAGGAUGGCGGCCGCCCAACAACAUCGGGCGUCAACACCAUCUUAGUCAUCGAUCCCCAGGAACUAGCCGAGGCGGGGACCAGCGUCCUCACCUACGCAACAUCAGGAAUAGGCUAGGCGUCGCCAGGUAGAGAAAGGACGUGGCGGGAGACGAUCUUGAAGGUUUCAUCCGGAAAUAUAAUCAUGAAAAAACAUCAAUGUGCAAUAUGCAGCAAAUAUUUUCUGUGGAAUUCAAAAUAAACAGAACAGACUGUUAGCCACUCAACCGAAAAAAGUUUGAAUGUCAUCUGUGUAAAAAGCAUUACAAGUACAAAAAUUCUGUCAAAAGACAUUUCGAAAAUCAUAUAAAUUUAACAAACAUGGUAGGUAAUACUUAACAGGAUAUAUGAAAGAAAAACACUUUGAAUCAAAAAGAACAGAAUCGAAAGAAGAAAACAUUAAGAUCGACACACAAAGGACAAUGUAAUCAAAUACAUGAACGAGGUUAUUGUGUAACAGAAUGUCACAUGAUGGACAUUCUGUUACAUAAUAAUCUCGUUCAUGUGUUUGAUUAUAUUGACAAUCAUCAUGCUGUUAGAAAGUGAAAAUAUAUAAAAUUUUAUUAAAUACAGUACCUUUGUUAAUCUUUCUUACGGGAAUCGAAAGAAGAAAACAUUAAGAUCGACACACAGUGGACAAUGUAAUCAAAUACGUGAACGAGGUUAUUGUGUAACAGAAUAUCACAUGAUGGACAUUCUGUUACAUAAUAAUCUCGUUCAUGUGUUUGAUUAUAUUGACAAUCAUCAUGCUGUUAGAAAGUGAAAAUAUUUAAAAUUUUAUUAAAUACAGUACCUUUGUUAAUCUUUCUUACGGGAAUCGAAAGAAGAAAACAUUAAGAUCGACACACAGUGGACAAUGUAAUCAAAUACGUGAACGAGGUUAUUGUGUAACAGAAUAUCACAUGAUGGACAUUCUGUUACAUAAUAAUCUCGUUCAUGUGUUUGAUUAUAUUGACAAUCAUCAUGCUGUUAGAAAGUGAAAAUAUUUAAAAUUUUAUUAAAUACAGUACCUUUGUUAAUCUUUCUUACGGGAAUCGAAAGAAGAAAACAUUAAGAUCGACACACAGUGGACAAUGUAAUCAAAUACGUGAACGAGGUUAUUGUGUAACAGAAUAUCACAUGAUGGACAUUCUGUUACAUAAUAAUCUCGUUCAUGUGUUUGAUUAUAUUGACAAUCAUCAUGCUGUUAGAAAGUGAAAAUAUUUAAAAUUUUAUUAAAUACAGUACCUUUGUUAAUCUUUCUUACGGGAAUCGAAAGAAGAAAACAUUAAGAUCGACACACAGUGGACAAUGUAAUCAAAUACGUGAACGAGGUUAUUGUGUAACAGAAUAUCACAUGAUGGACAUUCUGUUACAUAAUAAUCUCGUUCAUGUGUUUGAUUAUAUUGACAAUCAUCAUGCUGUUAGAAAGUGAAAAUAUUUAAAAUUUUAUUAAAUACAGUACCUUUGUUAAUCUUUCUUACGGGAAUCGAAAGAAGAAAACAUUAAGAUCGACACACAGUGGACAAUGUAAUCAAAUACGUGAACGAGGUUAUUGUGUAACAGAAUAUCACAUGAUGGACAUUCUGUUACAUAAUAAUCUCGUUCAUGUGUUUGAUUAUAUUGACAAUCAUCAUGCUGUUAGAAAGUGAAAAUAUUUAAAAUUUUAUUAAAUACAGUACCUUUGUUAAUCUUUCUUACGGGAAUCGAAAGAAGAAAACAUUAAGAUCGACACACAGUGGACAAUGUAAUCAAAUACGUGAACGAGGUUAUUGUGUAACAGAAUAUCACAUGAUGGACAUUCUGUUACAUAAUAAUCUCGUUCAUGUGUUUGAUUAUAUUGACAAUCAUCAUGCUGUUAGAAAGUGAAAAUAUUUAAAAUUUUAUUAAAUACAGUACCUUUGUUAAUCUUUCUUACGGGAAUCGAAAGAAGAAAACAUUAAGAUCGACACACAGUGGACAAUGUAAUCAAAUACGUGAACGAGGUUAUUGUGUAACAGAAUAUCACAUGAUGGACAUUCUGUUACAUAAUAAUCUCGUUCAUGUGUUUGAUUAUAUUGACAAUCAUCAUGCUGUUAGAAAGUGAAAAUAUUUAAAAUUUUAUUAAAUACAGUACCUUUGUUAAUCUUUCUUACGGGAAUCGAAAGAAGAAAACAUUAAGAUCGACACACAGUGGACAAUGUAAUCAAAUACGUGAACGAGGUUAUUGUGUAACAGAAUAUCACAUGAUGGACAUUCUGUUACAUAAUAAUCUCGUUCAUGUGUUUGAUUAUAUUGACAAUCAUCAUGCUGUUAGAAAGUGAAAAUAUUUAAAAUUUUAUUAAAUACAGUACCUUUGUUAAUCUUUCUUACGGGAAUCGAAAGAAGAAAACAUUAAGAUCGACACACAGUGGACAAUGUAAUCAAAUACGUGAACGAGGUUAUUGUGUAACAGAAUAUCACAUGAUGGACAUUCUGUUACAUAAUAAUCUCGUUCAUGUGUUUGAUUAUAUUGACAAUCAUCAUGCUGUUAGAAAGUGAAAAUAUUUAAAAUUUUAUUAAAUACAGUACCUUUGUUAAUCUUUCUUACGGGAAUCGAAAGAAGAAAACAUUAAGAUCGACACACAGUGGACAAUGUAAUCAAAUACGUGAACGAGGUUAUUGUGUAACAGAAUAUCACAUGAUGGACAUUCUGUUACAUAAUAAUCUCGUUCAUGUGUUUGAUUAUAUUGACAAUCAUCAUGCUGUUAGAAAGUGAAAAUAUUUAAAAUUUUAUUAAAUACAGUACCUUUGUUAAUCUUUCUUACGGGAAUCGAAAGAAGAAAACAUUAAGAUCGACACACAGUGGACAAUGUAAUCAAAUACGUGAACGAGGUUAUUGUGUAACAGAAUAUCACAUGAUGGACAUUCUGUUACAUAAUAAUCUCGUUCAUGUGUUUGAUUAUAUUGACAAUCAUCAUGCUGUUAGAAAGUGAAAAUAUUUAAAAUUUUAUUAAAUACAGUACCUUUGUUAAUCUUUCUUACGGGAAUCGAAAGAAGAAAACAUUAAGAUCGACACACAGUGGACAAUGUAAUCAAAUACGUGAACGAGGUUAUUGUGUAACAGAAUAUCACAUGAUGGACAUUCUGUUACAUAAUAAUCUCGUUCAUGUGUUUGAUUAUAUUGACAAUCAUCAUGCUGUUAGAAAGUGAAAAUAUUUAAAAUUUUAUUAAAUACAGUACCUUUGUUAAUCUUUCUUACGGGAAUCGAAAGAAGAAAACAUUAAGAUCGACACACAGUGGACAAUGUAAUCAAAUACGUGAACGAGGUUAUUGUGUAACAGAAUAUCACAUGAUGGACAUUCUGUUACAUAAUAAUCUCGUUCAUGUGUUUGAUUAUAUUGACAAUCAUCAUGCUGUUAGAAAGUGAAAAUAUUUAAAAUUUUAUUAAAUACAGUACCUUUGUUAAUCUUUCUUACGGGAAUCGAAAGAAGAAAACAUUAAGAUCGACACACAGUGGACAAUGUAAUCAAAUACGUGAACGAGGUUAUUGUGUAACAGAAUAUCACAUGAUGGACAUUCUGUUACAUAAUAAUCUCGUUCAUGUGUUUGAUUAUAUUGACAAUCAUCAUGCUGUUAGAAAGUGAAAAUAUUUAAAAUUUUAUUAAAUACAGUACCUUUGUUAAUCUUUCUUACGGGAAUCGAAAGAAGAAAACAUUAAGAUCGACACACAGUGGACAAUGUAAUCAAAUACGUGAACGAGGUUAUUGUGUAACAGAAUAUCACAUGAUGGACAUUCUGUUACAUAAUAAUCUCGUUCAUGUGUUUGAUUAUAUUGACAAUCAUCAUGCUGUUAGAAAGUGAAAAUAUUUAAAAUUUUAUUAAAUACAGUACCUUUGUUAAUCUUUCUUACGGGAAUCGAAAGAAGAAAACAUUAAGAUCGACACACAGUGGACAAUGUAAUCAAAUACGUGAACGAGGUUAUUGUGUAACAGAAUAUCACAUGAUGGACAUUCUGUUACAUAAUAAUCUCGUUCAUGUGUUUGAUUAUAUUGACAAUCAUCAUGCUGUUAGAAAGUGAAAAUAUUUAAAAUUUUAUUAAAUACAGUACCUUUGUUAAUCUUUCUUACGGGAAUCGAAAGAAGAAAACAUUAAGAUCGACACACAGUGGACAAUGUAAUCAAAUACGUGAACGAGGUUAUUGUGUAACAGAAUAUCACAUGAUGGACAUUCUGUUACAUAAUAAUCUCGUUCAUGUGUUUGAUUAUAUUGACAAUCAUCAUGCUGUUAGAAAGUGAAAAUAUUUAAAAUUUUAUUAAAUACAGUACCUUUGUUAAUCUUUCUUACGGGAAUCGAAAGAAGAAAACAUUAAGAUCGACACACAGUGGACAAUGUAAUCAAAUACGUGAACGAGGUUAUUGUGUAACAGAAUAUCACAUGAUGGACAUUCUGUUACAUAAUAAUCUCGUUCAUGUGUUUGAUUAUAUUGACAAUCAUCAUGCUGUUAGAAAGUGAAAAUAUUUAAAAUUUUAUUAAAUACAGUACCUUUGUUAAUCUUUCUUACGGGAAUCGAAAGAAGAAAACAUUAAGAUCGACACACAGUGGACAAUGUAAUCAAAUACGUGAACGAGGUUAUUGUGUAACAGAAUAUCACAUGAUGGACAUUCUGUUACAUAAUAAUCUCGUUCAUGUGUUUGAUUAUAUUGACAAUCAUCAUGCUGUUAGAAAGUGAAAAUAUUUAAAAUUUUAUUAAAUACAGUACCUUUGUUAAUCUUUCUUACGGGAAUCGAAAGAAGAAAACAUUAAGAUCGACACACAGUGGACAAUGUAAUCAAAUACGUGAACGAGGUUAUUGUGUAACAGAAUAUCACAUGAUGGACAUUCUGUUACAUAAUAAUCUCGUUCAUGUGUUUGAUUAUAUUGACAAUCAUCAUGCUGUUAGAAAGUGAAAAUAUUUAAAAUUUUAUUAAAUACAGUACCUUUGUUAAUCUUUCUUACGGGAAUCGAAAGAAGAAAACAUUAAGAUCGACACACAGUGGACAAUGUAAUCAAAUACGUGAACGAGGUUAUUGUGUAACAGAAUAUCACAUGAUGGACAUUCUGUUACAUAAUAAUCUCGUUCAUGUGUUUGAUUAUAUUGACAAUCAUCAUGCUGUUAGAAAGUGAAAAUAUUUAAAAUUUUAUUAAAUACAGUACCUUUGUUAAUCUUUCUUACGGGAAUCGAAAGAAGAAAACAUUAAGAUCGACACACAGUGGACAAUGUAAUCAAAUACGUGAACGAGGUUAUUGUGUAACAGAAUAUCACAUGAUGGACAUUCUGUUACAUAAUAAUCUCGUUCAUGUGUUUGAUUAUAUUGACAAUCAUCAUGCUGUUAGAAAGUGAAAAUAUUUAAAAUUUUAUUAAAUACAGUACCUUUGUUAAUCUUUCUUACGGGAAUCGAAAGAAGAAAACAUUAAGAUCGACACACAGUGGACAAUGUAAUCAAAUACGUGAACGAGGUUAUUGUGUAACAGAAUAUCACAUGAUGGACAUUCUGUUACAUAAUAAUCUCGUUCAUGUGUUUGAUUAUAUUGACAAUCAUCAUGCUGUUAGAAAGUGAAAAUAUUUAAAAUUUUAUUAAAUACAGUACCUUUGUUAAUCUUUCUUACGGGAAUCGAAAGAAGAAAACAUUAAGAUCGACACACAGUGGACAAUGUAAUCAAAUACGUGAACGAGGUUAUUGUGUAACAGAAUAUCACAUGAUGGACAUUCUGUUACAUAAUAAUCUCGUUCAUGUGUUUGAUUAUAUUGACAAUCAUCAUGCUGUUAGAAAGUGAAAAUAUUUAAAAUUUUAUUAAAUACAGUACCUUUGUUAAUCUUUCUUACGGGAAUCGAAAGAAGAAAACAUUAAGAUCGACACACAGUGGACAAUGUAAUCAAAUACGUGAACGAGGUUAUUGUGUAACAGAAUAUCACAUGAUGGACAUUCUGUUACAUAAUAAUCUCGUUCAUGUGUUUGAUUAUAUUGACAAUCAUCAUGCUGUUAGAAAGUGAAAAUAUUUAAAAUUUUAUUAAAUACAGUACCUUUGUUAAUCUUUCUUACGGGAAUCGAAAGAAGAAAACAUUAAGAUCGACACACAGUGGACAAUGUAAUCAAAUACGUGAACGAGGUUAUUGUGUAACAGAAUAUCACAUGAUGGACAUUCUGUUACAUAAUAAUCUCGUUCAUGUGUUUGAUUAUAUUGACAAUCAUCAUGCUGUUAGAAAGUGAAAAUAUUUAAAAUUUUAUUAAAUACAGUACCUUUGUUAAUCUUUCUUACGGGAAUCGAAAGAAGAAAACAUUAAGAUCGACACACAGUGGACAAUGUAAUCAAAUACGUGAACGAGGUUAUUGUGUAACAGAAUAUCACAUGAUGGACAUUCUGUUACAUAAUAAUCUCGUUCAUGUGUUUGAUUAUAUUGACAAUCAUCAUGCUGUUAGAAAGUGAAAAUAUUUAAAAUUUUAUUAAAUACAGUACCUUUGUUAAUCUUUCUUACGGGAAUCGAAAGAAGAAAACAUUAAGAUCGACACACAGUGGACAAUGUAAUCAAAUACGUGAACGAGGUUAUUGUGUAACAGAAUAUCACAUGAUGGACAUUCUGUUACAUAAUAAUCUCGUUCAUGUGUUUGAUUAUAUUGACAAUCAUCAUGCUGUUAGAAAGUGAAAAUAUUUAAAAUUUUAUUAAAUACAGUACCUUUGUUAAUCUUUCUUACGGGAAUCGAAAGAAGAAAACAUUAAGAUCGACACACAGUGGACAAUGUAAUCAAAUACGUGAACGAGGUUAUUGUGUAACAGAAUAUCACAUGAUGGACAUUCUGUUACAUAAUAAUCUCGUUCAUGUGUUUGAUUAUAUUGACAAUCAUCAUGCUGUUAGAAAGUGAAAAUAUUUAAAAUUUUAUUAAAUACAGUACCUUUGUUAAUCUUUCUUACGGGAAUCGAAAGAAGAAAACAUUAAGAUCGACACACAGUGGACAAUGUAAUCAAAUACGUGAACGAGGUUAUUGUGUAACAGAAUAUCACAUGAUGGACAUUCUGUUACAUAAUAAUCUCGUUCAUGUGUUUGAUUAUAUUGACAAUCAUCAUGCUGUUAGAAAGUGAAAAUAUUUAAAAUUUUAUUAAAUACAGUACCUUUGUUAAUCUUUCUUACGGGAAUCGAAAGAAGAAAACAUUAAGAUCGACACACAGUGGACAAUGUAAUCAAAUACGUGAACGAGGUUAUUGUGUAACAGAAUAUCACAUGAUGGACAUUCUGUUACAUAAUAAUCUCGUUCAUGUGUUUGAUUAUAUUGACAAUCAUCAUGCUGUUAGAAAGUGAAAAUAUUUAAAAUUUUAUUAAAUACAGUACCUUUGUUAAUCUUUCUUACGGGAAUCGAAAGAAGAAAACAUUAAGAUCGACACACAGUGGACAAUGUAAUCAAAUACGUGAACGAGGUUAUUGUGUAACAGAAUAUCACAUGAUGGACAUUCUGUUACAUAAUAAUCUCGUUCAUGUGUUUGAUUAUAUUGACAAUCAUCAUGCUGUUAGAAAGUGAAAAUAUUUAAAAUUUUAUUAAAUACAGUACCUUUGUUAAUCUUUCUUACGGGAAUCGAAAGAAGAAAACAUUAAGAUCGACACACAGUGGACAAUGUAAUCAAAUACGUGAACGAGGUUAUUGUGUAACAGAAUAUCACAUGAUGGACAUUCUGUUACAUAAUAAUCUCGUUCAUGUGUUUGAUUAUAUUGACAAUCAUCAUGCUGUUAGAAAGUGAAAAU